rnacentral:rRNA from 1 species
CCUACGGGAGGCAGCAGUCGAGAAUCAUUCACAAUGGGGGAAACCCUGAUGGUGCGACGCCGCGUGGGGGAAUGAAGGUCUUCGGAUUGUAAACCUCUGUCAUGUGGGAGCAAAUUAAAAAGAUAGUACCACAAGAGGAAGAGACGGCUAACUCUGUGCCAGCAGCCGCGGUAAUACAGAGGCCUCAAGCGUUGUUCGGAAUCACUGGGCUUAAAGCGUGCGUAGGCUGUUUCGUAAGUCAUGUGUGAAAGUGGGGGGCUCAACCAUAGUACGGCACAUGAUACUGGGAGACUGGAGUACUGGUGGGGGAACCGGAAUUCUCGGUGUAGCAGUGAAAUGCAUAGAUAUCAAGAGGAACACUCGUGGCGAAGGCAGGUUCCUAGACAUUAACUGACGCUGAGGCACGAAGGCCAGGGGAGCGAAAGGGAUUAGAUACCCGGGUAGUC